AUGCAAGUCGAACGGCAGCACAGCAGUAGCAAUACUGUGGGUGGCGAGUGGCGGACGGGUGAGGAAUGCAUCGGAAUCUGCCUAUUUGUGGGGGAUAACGUAGGGAAACUUACGCUAAUACCGCAUACGUCCUACGGGAGAAAGUGGGGGACCGCAAGGCCUCACGCAGAUAGAUGAGCCGAUGCCGGAUUAGCUAGUUGGCGGGGUAAAGGCCCACCAAGGCGACGAUCCGUAGCUGGUCUGAGAGGAUGAUCAGCCACACUGGAACUGAGACACGGUCCAGACUCCUACGGGAGGCAGCAGUGGGGAAUAUUGGACAAUGGGCGCAAGCCUGAUCCAGCCAUGCCGCGUGUGUGAAGAAGGCCUUCGGGUUGUAAAGCACUUUUGUCCGGAAAGAAAAGCGCUCGAUUAAUACUCGGGUGUUAUGACGGUACCGGAAGAAUAAGCACCGGCUAACUUCGUGCCAGCAGCCGCGGUAAUACGAAGGGUGCAAGCGUUACUCGGAAUUACUGGGCGUAAAGCGUGCGUAGGUGGUUUGUUAAGUCUGAUGUGAAAGCCCUGGGCUCAACCUGGGAACUGCAUUGGAUACUGGCUUACUAGA
rnacentral:rRNA from 1 species